rnacentral:lncRNA from 1 species
CUUAUUGUAGCAACAGUUGUAGUUGCUAUACUUGUCUUUUUACCAUUUUAAUGACUUUCAACAGGCAUUUUUUCUGUCACAAAAAGACAACCAAUUUAGUAUGUCAGAAGAAUACUAACUAUAAAGUUUUAAAAACUCUAAGCACCAACUUGUUUCUAGUUUAACAGUGAAGUUUUUAUGUUUUUCAAAUCGUCAAUCGAAUGAACUUUAACUUGUGGUAAAAUUUUUAUAUCUUUAAAUCACUAUUAAGUUCAAACAGAGUAGAAAUUCAAAUUCUUUAAUCUUUAGAAGCAUAAAAAUACAGAGAUUUCAAUGAAUCAGUGAAGUAUUUAUAUUCUGCAAACCAAAUUCCCAAAUUGAUUUGUCGGUUAAGUUUUUAUAUUCUAUCUGUAUUGAUUAAUCAUGUGUUUCAAGGCAUCCCUAUACAUCUAUUAUCAAAACUCAAUCCUCCUAAAGGGGUACUAAGGCAUUUACAUAGCAUCUUUGCUAUGUUUUUCCGGAAGAACACCACAGAUAAGAAGAGUAGACAUUGGGUGAGUUGGGACACUUUAUGCUUACCUAAAUUAGAAGGAGGUGUUGGUUUUAGGUCUCUUUUUGAUGUUUCUAAUGUUCUUUUUUGUAAAAUUUUAUGGAACUUGAGGAGUAGACCUUCACAAUUGGGAGCUUUUAUGACCAACAAAUAUUGCAAAAAAGCUUCAUCCAGUAUUGACCUAAUGUAGGGGAGAUUCCCCUAUAUGGAAAAAGCUAAGAUUUGACAGAGAGCUCAUAGAGCAUCAAAUUUGGUGGAAGAUUGAGAAUGGGAAUUCUAGUUUUUGGUAUGACUUUUGGACUACAAUGGGAGCAUUAUAUCACAUUAUCGCAGAUAUAGGGGAUGGGGAAAUUGAAGUUAGGAAUUUUACAACUGUAAAUAGGUGGAAUGAGCAAAGUUUGAGUAAAUUUUUCCCUAAAGAGAAUGUAGAUUUCAUCAUUAAAAACAUCUGAUCUCCAAUGCAAAUAGAUAAUCUAGAUAAAUAGUGUGGAUGCUUGAACCUAGUGGAAUUUUCUCAGUCAAGAGUGUGUGUGAGUAUACUAUACAAAAGGAUCAGAAAGAAGACAUAUUUUAAUAUUUAUGGAGUGAUAAGCUGCCUUUUAAAAUAUCUUUUUUCACUUGGAGAAUGUGGAAAUUCAGGGUGCCAGUGGAUAAAAUAGUGCAACACAUGGGUGUUAACAUGGUUUCUAGGUGUUGGUGUUGCACUAAUGGUUACUAAUGUUGCAGGUAUAUACAUUGAAGGCUUACAGUUAUCACAAGUGAUCAUUAAAUGGUGGCCAAGAAAAUGUUGUUCAAACUUAAAGCUACUUAUGAGAGCUAUAUCAUCUAUAAUUAUUUGGAACCUAUGGAAGAGAAGGAAUAGAUUAAAGCAUUGAAAUACAUCAUCAUUUACUCAUUUAGUUUUCAAGGUCAACGCUAACCUAUGAAGACUCGGGAGAAUUCUACAUCCAAAAAUACAUGAUUUCCCAAUACACUGGUAAAAUAUUAUGGUAUAUUAAGAGAACCUUAAAGCCAAACUAUUUCAUCUUCCAAUUUGCUGGAAACCACUGGAAGGAUGUCUAAAAUACAACACUGAUGGUAUAUCAAGAGGCAAUCCAUGUAGGAGCACCUGCAAUUUCUUCUUGAGGAACUUUGCAGGUGAUUUAAUAUAUGCUCAAGGGGAAAAAAUUCAGGAAAGCACAAUUCUAGAAGCAGAAGCCAUGGCAAUAAAAAAGGCUCUAGCACACUGUGUGACAAAAGGGAUUACUAAAGUUAGUCUGGAAAUGGAUUCACUAAUGAUGAUUAAAAUUCUUACAAAAAUGUGAUUACCUUGGAAUAUUAUUGGGAUCGUGGAAGCAGAACAGAAAUAUUUAGAACUAUGUCAGGUUCACAUCCAACAUGUAUACAAAAAGGGUAAUUAUUUGGUUGAUUGCUAGCCAAUUUAGCUUUUGAUAAUACAGGUAGACUUGUCUUUAAUUUCUUCUCAGAAUUACCAAGUCAUGCCAGAAGGAUUUUGAAUCUAGAUAAGCAUCAAGUGCCAAAUUUAAGAAUUCGUACUAAGGAAAUAGUUAGAUAUAAGGAUGGGUGUCAAGGAUCCGUCACAACAAUUAUAAGAUGAGUUCAAGCAUUUUUAUUUUCUUGAUGUAGAUUAGUAUUUCUAGUACCUUUGUAGAGGAACAAUUCAUUUCAAAAACCCAAUUCAUAAGGGCAUUUAUAGAUCUAAAGUCAUUGUACUUGAGCGAAGAAUUAUAGAAGACAUGAUUAUAAGUCUUGGUACAGAUUCAAACUUCUUUGAGUCGUCACAGAUGCAAGUCAAAGCUAUAGGAAAACACACAGAUAUAAAGAUAAAUAUUUGCAAAGGGAAAGCCAACUUAUACCUGGAAAAAACUCCAAAAAUCUAUUUGAAGCAGGUUGUGGUCGGUUAAUAAGAAGCUCGCCGGAAGUCUUUCGCUCCAGGAGCUCAUCACCAAACAUUUUUGUUGCUAAAAAUAUUAGUAGGAAAGCCAAGAAAUAAAAAUAAUAUGGGAAAGGAGCUUACAUUUGUUUCACAGCAGGUCAUCACUUUCCUAUUUGCUCAAAUGAUGGAAGAUGAUGGAGAGGAAUUAGCAGAGCUUCUGAUUCAUUUGCCUCUUCAUUUUCUUACUUUUUGUAUUAUUAUUUCCAAGGAAAUGUAUCGAUUGGGAUGCUCUUUUUUUUAUGGACAUGGUUUUAUU